rnacentral:rRNA from 1 species
AUUGAACGCUGGCGGCCGGCUUAACACAUGCAAGUCGAGCGAGCGGUGGACGGGUGAGUAAUGUCUGGGAAACUGCCUGAUGGAGGGGGAUAACUACUGGAAACGGUAGCUAAUACCGCAUACCAUCAGAUGUGCCCAGCGGGGAUUAGCUAGCAGGUGGGGUAAGGGCUCACCUAGGCGACGCUCCCUAGCUGGUCUGAGAGGAUGACCAGCCACACUGGAACUGAGAAACGGUCCAGACUCCUACGGGAGGCAGCAGUGGGGAAUAUUGCACAAUGGGCGCAAGCCUGAGGCAGCCAUGCCGCGUGUGUGAAGAAGGCCUUCGGGUUGUAAAGCACUGUCAGCGAGGAGGCGUUACUCGCAGAAGAAGCACCGGCUAACUCCGUGCCAGCAGCCGCGGUAAUUC